GUUUCAGGGCGGGGUGAAAUUCCCCACUGGCGGUAAAUCGGGCGGUGUCAAAGGGGUGCCGAGCCGAUGAGUCCGCGACCCGAGCGUGUGUUGGUUCGCAUGCCGGCUGAACUGGUGAGAUUCCAGUACCAACGGUUAGAGUCCGGAUGAAAGAGGC
rnacentral:ncRNA from 1 species